rnacentral:misc_RNA from 1 species
GUGUAAGUUUGUGCGGGUUCGAAGUAUUCAUUACCGCCUCCCCUCCAAACUAACUUUUUAUUAUUAAUUCGGUGAGUGAGUUACAUUUAAUUCGUGUACUCCUCUUAUGAUAAUUGUUUGAGCCAAUUGUCACCGAGAUAUCGAUUUCAACCGUUUGGCUGUGUAGUUGGUCGAAUCUAAGGCUAUAUAAUGCUGGGAUGUUUUUACCAGAUGCAAACUCUAAGCUAAUCGUCGUUAAGUUCUGACAUGGACAACGCAACGAAUUCCUGUCUACUUAGCAGACAAUGCGAUGACCAGGUUGGCUUACAUGCUUACGCAUGCGUUGUCAACAGGAUUUAUGGAUACCUGAUCCUAGUUCUCGGUUGUUUUGGCAUUCCUACUAACAUUGUAAACAUUGCCAUCCUCACCCACAAAUCAAUGCGCUCACCCGUCAACAACAUCCUGACAGGGAUUGCUAUAAGCGACCUCAUCACCAUGGAAAAUGGAUUCCUUGUUUUCUUAUCACCUUAUUUGGAGGAUGUCUCCUUCAUUCCCUACAAGAAAACACACGACGGACCAUACAUCUGCACGGUUCUCACGCCACCUCGCGGCUCCAGCAGCACCGCCGGACAACCACCAUGUUGUUGAUUAUCAUUCUAAUGUAUAUAGUGGCUUCUCUUCCACAGAGUAUUUUACUCAUCAUAGCUUUCGCCGACAAAACAUUUUUUGAAAAUGAGUAUGCCCUUCUAGGAGAUAGCAUCGACAUUCUUUCCAUGAUUAACAACUCCAUUAACUUUGUCCUGUAUUGUGCAAUGAGCCGACAGUUUAGGGACCUUCUCCGGCAAUGUGUAUGCCAAUACUUCGCCCUGCCCCAACAGGAUGCAAAGAGCUACAACACCGCUAGUCAUCUUUUGUCCCAGAAUAACUUACACAGCAAAGUGUUUGCGAUGAACGAAAUAAAAAAACAGGACAGUCCUCUUCUUGACAGACUCAGUAAACCAAUGGAAAAAGGCUUCUAAUAAAUGUGCCACAUUUUUUUUCAUAUUCAUACACAUUAUAUUUUUAUAUAGUAUUAAUUGAUUGUUGGACUUUUCCCCAAACAUUAGUGUGUGUGUGUGUGUGGAGGGGGGGGGGGGGGGUUAUAAUGAUGCAUUAUGUACAUAAAAAGUAUUGCUGUCAGAUGUAUCGAAGACGGUUAAAAUCUAAGUGCGUUAUCAACUUUAGAAGAAAAUAAAGGAACGAUUCUAGAGAAGGUAUCAUAAGAUACAGAUAAGUCGUAAUAUGGAGCCCAACAUACGGAGAAGUGCUGAAUUUUUAGUUUAUCGCCAAUAUCUGUAUAUGUGACAUACUAGUUUUAUCAAGAGGAAUGUAAAACAGCUUAGAAACAAUAAAUAUUGAGUCAAUGGAUCAGUCAUGAUUUGACGUUACCAAAUCAGAUAGACAAAUUUGGAAUAUUUUAAAAUCCUUGUAAACUAGACAAUAAAUUCAGAGUGAAGCAAUACUAUAGCCUUGUCCUUAAC